rnacentral:rRNA from 1 species
AUACGUAGGGUGCGAGCGUUAAUCGGAAUUACUGGGCGUAAAGCGUGCGCAGGCGGUUUUGUAAGACAGUGGUGAAAUCCCCGGGCUCAACCUGGGAACUGCCAUUGUGACUGCAAGGCUGGAGUGCGGCAGAGGGGGAUGGAAUUCCGCGUGGAGCAGUGAAAUGCGUAGAUAUGCGGAGGAACACCGAUGGCGAAGGCAAUCCCCUGGGCCUGCACUGACGCUCAUGCACGAAAGCGUGGGGAGCAAACAGGAUUAGAUACCCUGGUAGUCCACGCCCUAAACGAUGUCAACUGGUUGUUGGGAAUUUAUUUUCUCAGUAACGAAGCUAACGCGUGAAGUUGACCGCCUGGGGAGUACGGCCGCAAGGUUAAAACUCAAAUGAAUUGACGGGG